GUGCUGUAUGAAAGGAGAGAAGGUUAGCACUCCCCUUGACAAGGGUGGAGGAGGCCCUCGGGCCUGACAACAUGCCUGUAAAGAUGUCACCACCUACUUGGUGGCAUCUAACCAUGUAGGUGC